rnacentral:lncRNA from 1 species
CACAUAAAUGCCUUCAUUGUAACCCAGAAAACCUCGUCAGAUAACUUAUGGAAUUUAUUGUCUGUAGUCUACUACUACUAUGGUGUUCACCAGUUGCUGCAUGAUAUUAUGAACUGUUCACUGAUGAAGAAAUAGACCGAGAGAAGGGCAAGUGACUAACCCACGUUUCCAAGCUAGAAAGUUACUGAACCAUAUAUGCCUCAUGGGAGGGCAAGACAAACAAGUGUGAUUAUAUGGUAGGUGGACUGAAAGGCCAAUGUAUUGUUUUUAAUUGGCAGAUCUGAUAGGUGGGGGGCCCUAAACUAUGUCUGCUGAUUUCUGACUAGUAUUCUUGUCUAGCAACGUGGCAUUGAAGAAAGAGUGUGAGCUUUGGAGUCAGCAUGUUGUAUUAAAGCCUGGCUGCUUUUU